rnacentral:rRNA from 1 species
UACGGAGGGAGCAAGCGUUACUCGGAAUUAUUGGGCGUAAAGGGCGCGUAGGCGAUCCGACAAGUCUGGUGUGAAAGCCCACAUGUUAACUGUGGAAGUGCAUUAGAAACUGUUGGAUUUGAGUUCAGGAGAGGAAAGCAGAAUUCCCGGUGUAGCGGUGAAAUGCGUAGAGAUCGGGAGGAAUACCAGUGGCGAAGGCGGGUCUCUGGACAGUUCCUGACGCUGAGGCACGAAGGCCAGGGGAGCAAACGGG